CAAUGCUACAACCUCUGUUGCUUCAGUUUGCGUGCACAUCACAGCAUCCUGUAGGCAGGUACAAGAAAAAGCCUGUUGAGCUGUGCCUUUUCCUGCCACUUUCACACCCUCUGGCCUGAUGCGGACUGUACCUGCUGCGAGCCAGGCAGCAACUGAAAAGCAUCAGGGAAUCACAUUACAUUAGAUCCUUCCAGCUUCGAGUAAUUAACUCAGUCCAUUUUAUAGAACUGGGAUGAUUUUGAAGAAACUCCAAUGGAAUAUAUAGACAAUUCCCUGGCAAUCAGGGUCUUGAAAACUUCUUUCACUGUGAUGCAAACUAGCAGCACUUUCCUUGCAUGUGGGACAAGUUAAGAACACCCAUAUGAACAGAGGAAAACUAUACACAGGAA